rnacentral:rRNA from 1 species
AACGAACGCUGGCGGCGUGCCUAACACAUGCAAGUCGAGCGCGAACGGAGCAAUCCUAGUAGAGCGGCGCACGGGUGCGUAACACGUGGGUAAUCUGCCUGGGAGUCCGGAACAACCUGCCGAAAGGCAAGCUAAUGCCGGAUAAGCCCACAGGAUCUUCGGAUCUGGUGGGGAAAGAUGGCCUCUAUUUAUAAGCUAUCUCUUCCAGAUGAGCCCGCGGCCCAUCAGCUAGUUGGCGGGGUAAUGGCCCACCAAGGCAACGACGGGUAGCUGGUCUGAGAGGACGAUCAGCCACACUGGAACUGAGACACGGUCCAGACUCCUGCGGGAGGCAGCAGUGGGGAAUUUUGCGCAAUGGGCGAAAGCCUGACGCAGCAACGCCGUGUGUGUGAUGAAGGUUUUCGGAUCGUAAAGCACUUUCGACCGGGAAGAAACCGCAUUGGCUAACAUCCAAUGCUCUGACGGUACCGGGAGAAGAAGCACCGGCUAACUCUGUGCCAGCCGCCGCCGUAAGAC